CUGAAUGUGCAGGCUUUGUGCAGAAAAUGGUGGACUUCACUGCUGGCAUCAGUGUAAGAAAGGAAGGUUUUCUUAGAAGCUUCCUGAUGUGUUACCCGAAGUCCCUUAAGGAAACUGAGAGAGCACCGACCUGCAUUUUGCAACAGAGCCCUUGUUACAGCAGUGCUGAAUAUUGGCAGAUACUUCAGACUCUGCAACCAGGAGAAAACAAGCAUCCUUCCUCCCCAGAAAGUGUGGGAGUGUGCCUGUUGCAGAAGUUGCUGUCACAUCAAGGAGAAAGACUCAUCUUCCAUGAGCUCCUAGUAUUGUGUGUACUUCCAGCACCAUGUAGUUGA
rnacentral:lncRNA from 1 species